rnacentral:rRNA from 1 species
CCCUUAGAUGUUCUGGGCCGCACACGCGCUACACUGAAGGAGGCAGCGUGUACUCCUGGAUCGAAAGAUUUGGGUAACCCGCGAAUCUCCUUCGUGCUAGGGAUUGAGGUUUGCAAUUAUCCUUCAUGAACGAGGAAUUCCCAGUAAGUGCAAGUCAUAAGCUUGCGCUGACUACGUCCCUGCCCUUUGUACACACCGCCCGUCGCUACUACCGAUUGAAUGAUUUAGUGAGGACUUCGGACUGGGACCGAUGCGGCUUUCGGGCUGCGUCGGUAUUCUGGAAAGAUGUCCAAACUGUAUCAUUUAGAGGAAGUAAAAGCCGUAACA